rnacentral:rRNA from 1 species
AUACGUAGGGUGCGAGCGUUGUCCGGAAUUACUGGGCGUAAAGAGCUCGUAGGUGGUUUGUCGCGUCGUCUGUGAAAUUCCGGGGCUUAACUCCGGGCGUGCAGGCGAUACGGGCAUAACUUGAGUACUGUAGGGGAGACUGGAAUUCCUGGUGUAGCGGUGAAAUGCGCAGAUAUCAGGAGGAACACCGGUGGCGAAGGCGGGUCGCUGGGAAUUAACUGACGCUGAGGAGCGAAAGCAUGGGUAGCGAACAGGAUUAGAUACCCUGGUAGUCCAUGCCGUAAACGGUGGGCGCUAGGUGUAGGGGUCUUCCACGACUUCUGUGCCGUAGCUAACGCAUUAAGCGCCCCGCCUGGGGAGUACGGCCGCAAGGCUAAAACUCAAAUGAAUUGACGGGG